CCGGUCAGGAGAACAAGACCUUCUGUUGCUGUUGCCUUACUUUCAGUGGCUCUGGGCUUAGGAGAGUCCAGAAAGAGAGAUAUUCAUGCCGCUAUGGACGUCAGUUUGGCCCUCUUUCCGAAGCUUCUGGUUGUGUGGGGGAGAACUCAACAGGUACCUCAAGGAAGGUACCUUGGGGGAGGCCAAUGGAGAGAAGGCCACACUGUAAUCUCAGCUGAACGGGGUCGCACCUCUUUCACUGUCAUUGAGUGUGUGUACAUUUGUGUAUGUGCAAGAGGAUGUGUGUUUGAGACUACUGUGUUUGUGUGUGUGUGUGUGUGUGUGUGUGUGUGUAUAGGAGACAGAGGAGAGGAACAUGCCCUUCCUGGGUAUAAACCAGCUGCUACGGAUCGGAAGCCUGACACAUCUUUGCUGUUCAGAUGCCAGGUCAUAGCAGGCAAGAUGAGAAGGGCACUGUAUUUGCAGAGCUGCACCCAGGAGAUCUUGGAGGAGAUGUUCUGUGGCUUCAACUCUUCUAAUUCCCUUGACAAUGAUUGGGUGCUCCAGGCAAACAAGGAGCAGUGAUGUUCUGAGGGAUCCUGUGUAGAACGCAGCUCCACUGUCAUUGCACAACGUCUGCAGGCUCACGAGAGAUCAUACUAAAGAAGAGAUCCACACAGGAAAUCUUGCAUGAGUUGCUCCAAGGGUUCAAUUCUCCAUCUACCCCCAAGAAGCACAGGUGCAUCAGGCCACCGACUACAAGCAUGGCCGGUCUGGGCUGAGAACCAGUCCCAUUCAUGGGGAAAGUCAGGACCUACAGAUGAUCAAGGCAAUCCAAGGAACGGGACUAAUAACAACUGGCUCCCCUGGGGCCUGCUGGAGAAAGUGCUCUCCCCUGACCUUCCUCCAUAGGUCAGGAACAGACCAAGUGGGAUGCUUACAGAUGACUCCAUGGAAUACUGGUCUUCGUAAAAGCUCUGAGUUGAGAGAAAUGUGAGUGUUGCGCAGCUAUUCGUGUGUGUUGAAGUUUCCAAUGCUGUGCCCUACGUCUGAACCAACCAAUGGUACUUUGAAGCCUAAAACCUUUUUCUGUGUGGGCCCUGAACUCCUUUGUCCUGUACAACUUCCUGAUGGGAUUGGUGUCUCUGGGCUGAGUGCCAGACCCUGAUCUUCCCAGUGGCUUGUGGUUUGGAAGCUGACAACAGUGCCUCUCCUUGUGUCUCUGGUGUGGAAAGGAAUCAUCCACCCUGACAACAGAUGAGUCCUGGGCCAUGGGGACGCUCUGGGAGGCCAGAAUGGAUACUUUUGUACAGUCCCUGCCACGAUCCAUCGAGGAGAGAAGCCUCUCAGAAAACGCAGUCGUUUCCCAUCUCUAUCACGUGUUCAGCACAGCUCAAAGGGUCCUGGGCCAGCAGCUCCUCAAGUGAGUGACCACCCCAUACACAGCACAGGGCCUGAGGCUCGCCUCUACUACCGGCAUGUUUUGGGAAUGUCACUGCACCUCUCUGAGCUUCUUUUUCUUCCUCUGAGAAGGGUUGUGGAAGAGGAUGAACCUCAUGGGGCUACUGUGGGCAAUCCUGGCAGAACACAUGGCCUAGAAUUCUCUGCUGCCUGGCUCUGUUGAAAGGGCUGCUGGGCAUCUUCCUGUGGAGCAGCUGUCUCUCACCAGCGAAGAAGCUCUCCACAUCAAGCCUCAUGGGCCUGUGGCACCCUGGGUGUACAGAACACUGGAAAGCAGGCCGUUUUCCUGUUUGCAAAAGACUUCUGGGAUUCCAUCUAACUGGCACUGCUCCUUGUCUUUCAUGUGUCCAGAGCAGCGGUCAGUGGGGAAGACAGAGCAGCUCAUGGUCCACUCAGUAGACGGAAAGUGCUGGCUGGGAUUCCUUUCUCCAAGAAUAGAGAUAAAGCGCCUAGGAUUGCAGCCACAUUUCGAAGCACUAACAUCAUUGGAAGAAUACAGUAGAUACACGGUCUCAGUCUCAAGUCUAAUCAGAGUGUCAGACAGUCAAUCUACCUGUUGUAGGCACGCAUGUCCACAGUUGGUUAGAUGUGAAAUCUUCACGGCCGCCGCAUGGGAUGAAUGAUCCCGCCACAUUUAGACCACUGGGAUGGAUGAUUAGAUCAGGUAAGGGCACUGGGUGACUCAGUCAGUGAGGCCCCUGAUUUCAGAUCAGGCCAUGAUCCCAGGGACCUGGCUUUGAGACCUCCAUUGGGCUCCCUGCUCAGUGGGGAGCCUGCAUUGCCCUCUCCCACUGCAGCUCACCCUGCUUAUUCUCUCUUUUUAUUAAUUUUAAUUUUAAUUUUUAUUAUUUUUCACAU